rnacentral:lncRNA from 1 species
UGGCUGCUGCUUGUAAGUGCAGGCUAUCAGUGCUGCUCAUCAUCUUGUUCAUCAUACUCACGUUUCGGGUCGAAACUUACGAAUCGAGACAGCGGAGGAUCCUCGUACGAGACGAUCUGACGACAGUUCGACGGGCUAUUCAGAGUGGACUGAAUGGUAGGUCAGAGCAACUGAAGGUCAUGGAGAGGAGGAAGAAGAAGAAGGUGGUCGAGGCUGGUCAUGGUCAACCGACCAAUUUGUUUCGGUUCAAUAGGCUGAGUCCCGGAGGACCUGAUCCGCGUCAUCAUUGAUAAUAAUAAUUAUUAUUUUUGAAACGCUUGACCAAUUGCGGCUAUCCAUGGAGAACUGUAUUUUGAGCUUUAUUUUAAUGAAGUUGGGAAGGUGAUCGAAUCGUACGGAUUUGUAUAUUUUAUUAUUAUUUAUAUGGGUUAAAAUGUAAAUCAAUUUGAAAAUUUUCAAUGUUAACAUAACACUUAAUAAAAUUGAUUUCUAAUUUUAUUUUGCCAUUAUUUACAGAGAUUAUCGAAGCG